UUCGAUGCAACGCGAAGAACCUUACCUGGUCUUGACAUCCCGGAGACCCUUAGGAACUAGGGGUGCUUCCAUCUGGAAGAAUCUGGAGACAGGUGCUGCAUGGCUGUCGUCAGCUCGUGUCGUGAGAUGUUCGGGUUAAGUCCCGCAACGAGCGCAACCCUUGCCUUUAGUUGCCAGCAGUUCGGCUGGGCACUCUAAAGGGACUGCCGGUGUUAAACCGGAGGAAGGUGGGGAUGACGUCAAGUCCUCAUGGCCUUUAUGACCAGGGCUACACACGUACUACAAUGGCCGAUACAAAGGGCAGCGACACUGCGAGGUGAAGCCAAUCCCGUAAAAUCGGUCUCAGUCCGGAUUGGAGUCUGCAACUCGACUCCAUGAAGUUGGAAUCGCUAGUAAUCGUGCAUCAGCCAUGGCGCGGUGAAUACGUUCCCGGGCCUU
rnacentral:rRNA from 1 species